CGUUCCCGGACCUUGUACACACCGCCCGUCAAGCCAUGGAAGCUGGGAGGGCCUGAAGGCAGUUGCUGCAAGGCGCUGUUUAGGGUAAAACCGGUGACUGGGCU
rnacentral:rRNA from 1 species